rnacentral:lncRNA from 1 species
UCCAAGAAUGAAUGCAUUUUACUUAAAGAUGGAAAAUUUGGAACAGAAUCUCAGUAAAUAUCAAUUAUAUUCUCUUUAAAGAAAUCAAAGCCUAAUAAUAUGGGUAAGAAUAAGUUGCUAUUUAGUAUUUUUAAAUUUUCAUUUAGUACAAUAAUUAUAAGCAAUACGAAUCACCUUAAAGUAUAUGUGUUGGUGCUAAAAGGCUGGCAGUUGUAUUAUUUAAAGCAAAUAGUUUUGAAAUCUUAAAUCUGAAAAAUCAAAACUGUAUUUCUGCUAAAUAAGUAUUAGUUUGACAACUAAUAGAAGAUAUUAAAAAUGCUUAUGGUGGGAUACCAGAGUAGAAAAUGUUCCUCUCCUUGCCUGAUCUUUUUUCUUUUUUGGUACCAGGAAUCAAAUUUUGGACCUCAAGCUUGCGACGCAGGCAGUGGCACCAAAGAGCUAAAUCCCUGGCCCUUUGCCUGAUUCUUGAUGAGCAAGACCUGGGUGAAAGGCAGGUUAGAGCCUCUUCUCAGUUCAUCCAUUCUAGGUCUAAUUUAAUAUCUGCAAAAUUUGUUCAGAAAUAUGAUUUGAGAAAGGGUUCAAAUGGAAAGAAGUAAAGAGAGUGAAGAUAAAUUCUAGAAGUGCAAUCCACUGAACAAAUUGACUGACAGGAUGGAAUAAUGAGAAAAAGAAUUAAUAAUGGCCCCCAAGUUUUUGAUGCUACUGGGAAUGAAAGCAAGGAAAUGCAGGUGAGAACUGUUGUGGGAGGAGGACAAGAUAAAGGCUUUAAUUUUUAUCAUAUGAGAUUUGAAAUGUGAGACAUUCAAAAAGACUCAACAGUGCAGCUGGAUAUAUACAGGUUAAGAGGUCACAGUGGUCUAGGUUAGUGUAUGGUUUGGAUAAGGUCUAUGUGCUGCAAGCUUGGUCUCCAGUGUGGCAAUACUGACAGGAG